rnacentral:rRNA from 1 species
GUGAGGAAUUUUCCGCAAUGGGCGAAAGCCUGACGGAGCAAUGCCGCGUGAAGGAUGAAGGCCUAUGGGUUGUAAACUUCUUUUCUCAGAAAAGAAUUAUGACGGUAUCUGAGGAAUAAGCAUCGGCUAACUCUGUGCCAGCAGCCGCGGUAAGACAGAGGAUGCAAGCGUUAUCCGGAAUGAUUGGGCGUAAAGCGUCUGUAGGUUGUUUAAAAAGUAUUCUGUCAAAGAUUAGGGCUUAACCCUAGAUAGGCAGAAUAAACUUUUAAGCUAGAGUUUGGUAGAGGAAGAGGGAAUUCCCGGUGGAGCGGUGGAAUGCGUAGAUAUAGGGAGGAACACCAAAGGCGAAGGCACUCUGCUGGGCCAAUACUAACACUGAGAGACGAAAGCGAGGGGAGCAAAUGGGAUUAGAAACCCGUGUAGUCC